rnacentral:rRNA from 1 species
GCCUGAACUGAAACAUCUAAGUAGGGCGAGGAAAAGAAAUCAACCGAGAUUCCGCAAGUAGUGGCGAGCGAACGCGGAAGAGGCCAAACCGGCUGUAGAAAUAUGGCCGGGGUAAGGACAGCAAAAUGUAUGUUGGACCCUAGCAGAAGGGCAUGGGACGGCCCACCACAGAGAGUGAUAGUCUCGUAUGCGAAAGGGAAAAACAGCAAGCUGUAUCCGGAGUACCACUGGACACGUGAAACCCGGUGGGAAUGUGGGGGGACCACCCUCCAAGCCUAAAUACUCCCUGGUGACCGAUAGUGAAGAGUACUGUGAAGGAAAGGUGAAAAGAACCCCGGGAGGGGAGUGAAAAGAACCUGAAACCUUGUGCUUACAAGCACACAGAGCACGUCAAGGUGUGAUGUGGUACCUUUUGUAGAAUGGUCCGGCGAGUGAAUGUAACGAGCAAGGUUAAGCACUUUAGGUGUGGAGCCGAAGCGAAAGCAAGUCUGAAAAGGGCGAGAAGUUCGUUGUAUUCGACCCGAAACCGGGUGACCUAGCCAUGUCCAGGCUGAAGUGAAGGUAAAACUUCAUGGAGGGCCGAACCCACUCCCGUUGAAAUGGUAGGGGAUGAGGUGUGGCUAGCGGAGAAAUUCCAAUCGAACCCGGAGAUAGCUGGUUCUCUCCGAAAUAGCUUUAGGGCUAGCCUCGACUGAACAUUACCGGAGGUAAAGCACUGAAUGGGCUAGGGGCCGAGAGGUUACUGAACCCUAUCAAACUAAGAAUGCCGGAUAAUGAUAGUCGGGAGUCAGACAGUGUGAGAUAAGUUUCAUUGUCGAAAGGGAAACAGCCCAGACCCACAGCUAAGGUCCCAAAGUAUCGUUAAGUGGAAAAGGAUGUGGAACUGCCCAGACAACCAGGAUGUUGGCUCAGAAGCAGCCAUACAUUCAAAGAGUGCGUAAUAGCUCACUGGUCGAGUGGUUCUGCGCCGAAAAUUUAACGGGGCUAAACGAUACACCGAAGCUUGGGAUGCAGCAUUGGCUGCAUGGUAGGAGAGCGUUCUGUACGGGGUGAAGUCAUAGCGGAAGCGGUGGUGGACUGUACAGAAGAGAGAAUGCCGGAAUGAGUAGCGAGAUUUAUGUGAGAAUCAUAAAGGCCGAAAGACUAAGGAUUUAGAAGGAAGGUUCGUCCGCUUCUAGUUAGCCGGGAGCUAAGGCGAGGCCGAGAGGCGUAGUCGAUGCACAUACGGUGGAGAUUCCGUAGCCGCCUCUUAAUUUAAGCAAAGGGACACUUUCAAAGGGAAUGACCCGGGCGUUGGUAGCCCCGGGCGAAAGGGACCGAAAUUAGAGUAGGGAAGCAUUUCUGGAGGAAGGCGAGAAAAGCUUUGCGGAUAGAGAGAGGCGCCCGUACCGCAAACCGACACAGGUAGUCAGGAAGAGGAUUCUAAGGCCAACGGGAGAAGGGUAGUUAAGGAACUCGGCAAAUUGACCCCGUAACUUCGGAAUAAGGGGUGCUCCUGAAAAGGAGCCGCAGUGAAUAGGCCCAGGCGACUGUUUAUCAAAAACACAGCUCUCUGCUAAAUCGAAAGAUGAAGUAUAGGGGGUGACACCUGCCCGGUGCUGGAAGGUUAAGAGGAAGGGUGCAAGCUCUGAAUUGAAGCCCCAGUAAACGGCGGCCGUAACUAUAACGGUCCUAAGGUAGCGAAAUUCCUUGUCGGGUAAGUUCCGACCCGCACGAAUGGUGUAACGAUCUGGGCACUGUCUCAACUACCCACCCGGCGAAAUUGUAGUACCGGUGAAGAUGCCGGUUACCCGCGGCAAGACGGAAAGACCCCAUGGAGCUUUACUGUAGCCUGAUAUUGGGUUUCGGUAUUCUAUGUACAGGAUAGGCGGGAGACUGGGAACCGAUGGCGUCAGCUGUCGGGGAGUCACCCUUGGGAUACCGCUCUUAGAGUACUGGAAUUCUAACCUGCGGCCGUGAAUCCGGCCGGGGGACAUUGUCAGGUGGGCAGUUUGACUGGGGCGGUCGCCUCCAAAAAGGUAACGGAGGCGCUCAAAGGUUCGCUCAGCACGGACGGAAACCGUGCCUCUGAGUGCAAACGCAAAAGCGAGCCUAACUGCGAGGCUGACGGGCCGAGCAGUAACGAAAGUUGGAGUUAGUGAUCCGGCGGUAUGUGAGUGGAAAUGCCGUCGCUCAACGGAUAAAAGCUACCCUGGGGAUAACAGGCUGAUCUCCCCCA